GGAGUUCAGUCUUCCCAGGCCCACCACUUUCAUCGAGUGAGCAUUCGUCUUCUGGUUACGGGGCCAUAGCUCAGCUGGGAGAGCGCGUGCUUUGCAAGCAUGAGGUCGUCGGUUCGAUCCCGUCUGGCUCCACCAGAUGGUUUGAUCACCGAGAUCUUGUACCGUCGUCCGCGAAACAUCACUUCGCAUCCUGCUAGUCUGGAUAGACAGCAAGAUGCGUGUUUUCUGACAUCGUAAAGAGGAGAUCGAUCCGAGUUGGGUCGUGCAGCGGAUUGUUGCGCGAAUCCUUCAUUAUCUCCGGAUCAUUUUCGGCGCUCGCUUUCAGCCGUGAGGUUGAAUGCGAGUUGUAAAAUGAUCCUUUUAGCGAAGCUUGACCGCCUCGCUAUCGGAACGAUCUUACGAAGCAAGCUGGUCUUUCUAGUCAAUGUCCGGCUGUGCGUAGCGUUCAUCGAGGGCGCGUGCCGUAAGGCAAUCGUACAGACAACAUUCUGCCGAGUGUGUGGACAUUGAUAAUGAGAGCAAUCAAGUGCCUUAAGGGUGUUCGGUGGAUGCCUUGGCGCUGAGAGGCGAUGAAGGACGUGCUACGCUGCGAUAAGCCGUGGGGAGCUGCGAAGAAGCUUUGAUCCGCGGAUUUCCGAAUGGG
rnacentral:misc_RNA from 1 species